rnacentral:tRNA from 1 species
AGGCGCGUAGCUCAGCUGGUUAGAGCACCACCUUGACAUGGUGGGGCUCGUUGGUUCGAGUCCAAUCGCGCCUACCA